rnacentral:rRNA from 1 species
AUUGAACGCUGGCGGCAGGCUUAACACAUGCAAGUCGAGCGGAGAUGAGGUGCUUGCACCUUAUCUUAGCGGCGGACGGGUGAGUAAUGCUUAGGAAUCUGCCUAUUAGUGGGGGACAACAUUCCGAAAGGAAUGCUAAUACCGCAUACGCACUACGGGGGAAAGCAGGGGAUCUUCGGACCUUGCGCUAAGAGAUGAGCCUAAGUCGGAUUAGCUAGUUGGUGGGGUAAAGGCCUACCAAGGCGACGAUCUGUAGCGGGUCUGAGAGGAUGAUCCGCCACACUGGGACUGAGACACGGCCCAGACUCCUACGGGAGGCAGCAGUGGGGAAUAUUGGACAAUGGGCGGAAGCCUGAUCCAGCCAUGCCGCGUGUGUGAAGAAGGCCUUUUGGUUGUAAAGCACUUUAAGCGAGGAGGAGGCUACCUGGAUUAAUACUCUAGGAUAGUGGACGUUACCCGCAGAAUAAGCACCGGCUAACUCUGUGCCAGCCGCCGCGGUAAGAC